rnacentral:rRNA from 1 species
UGGGGAAUUUUCCGCAAUGGGCGAAAGCCUGACGGAGCAAUACCGCGUGAGGGAUGACGGCCUAUGGGUUGUAAACCUCUUUUUUCAGGGAGGAAUCAAUGACGUGUACCUGAAGAAUAAGCAUCGGCUAACUCCGUGCCAGCAGCCGCGGUAAGACGGAGGAUGCAAGUGUUAUCCGGAAUCACUGGGCGUAAAGCGUCUGUAGGUGGUCCAAUAAGUCAACUGUUAAAUCUUGGGGCUCAACCUCAAAACCGCAGUCGAAACUAUUAGACUAGAGUAUAGUAGGGGUAAAGGGAAUUUCCAGUGGAGCGGUGAAAUGCGUAGAGAUUGGAAAGAACACCGAUGGCGAAGGCACUUUACUGGGCUAUUACUAACACUCAGAGACGAAAGCUAGGGUAGCA